UACGAGGGGGGCAAGCGUUGUUCGGAAUUAUUGGGCGUAAAGGGCGCGUAGGCGGUGCGGUAAGUCACCUGUGAAACCUCUAGGCUUAACCUAGAGCCUGCAGGCGAAACUGCCGUGCUUGAGGGUGGGAGAGGUGCGUGGAAUUCCCGGUGUAGCGGUGAAAUGCGUAGAUAUCGGGAGGAACGUCGAUGGCGAAGGCAGCCACCUGGCAUAAUACUGACGCUGAGGCGCGAAAGCGUGGGGAGCGAACAGG
rnacentral:rRNA from 1 species